GAUGAACGCUAGCUACAGGCUUAACACAUGCAAGUCGAGGGGCAGCACAGUGUAGCAAUACAUGGGUGGCGACCGGCGCACGGGUGCGUAACGCGUAUCCAACCUUCCCGUUACUCUUGGAUAGCCUUCCGAAAGGGAGAUUAAUACAAGAUGGUAUUCAAAUUCCGCAUGUUAUUUGAAUUAAAGAUUUAUCGGUAACGGAUGGGGAUGCGUGACAUUAGGUAGAUGGCGGGGUAACGGCCCACCAUGCCUACGAUGUCUAGGGGUUCUGAGAGGAAGGUCCCCCACACUGGAACUGAGACACGGUCCAGACUCCUAACGGGGAGGCAGCAGUGAGGAAUAUUGGGUCAAUGGUCGGAAGACUGAACCAGCCAAGUAGCGUGAAGGAUGGAAGGUUCUAUGGAUUAUAAACGUUCUUUUAUACGGGAAUAAACCUCCACGUGUGGGAGCUUGGUAUGUACCGUAUGAAU
rnacentral:rRNA from 1 species